UACGUAGGGUGCGAGCGUUAAUCGGAAUUACUGGGCGUAAAGCGUGCGCAGGCGGUGAUGUAAGACCGAUGUGAAAUCCCCCGGCUUAACCUGGGAACUGCGUCUGAUACUGGAAGGCUUGAGUAUGGGAGAGGGAUGUAGAAUUCCAGGUGUAGCGGUGAAAUGCGUAGAUAUCUGGAGGAAUACCGGUGGCGAAGGCGGCAUCCUGGACCAUUACUGACGCUGAGGCGCGAAAGCUAGGGGAGCAAACGGG
rnacentral:rRNA from 1 species